AGCUCCAAUAGCGUAUAUUAAAGUUGCUGCAGUUAAAAAGCUCGUAGUUGCAUUUCCGAGGCAAGGGAUUAGUCCGACCUUUGGUGGGUAUUUAAUCCUCUUGCCUCGUCCUUGAGUGGUGCUUCUUGGUAUUAAGUUAUCGAGGAGAUAGCCGCUCAUCGUUUACUGUGAGAAAAUUAGAGUGUUCAAAGCAGGCUUAUGCCGUUGAAUAUAUUAGCAUGGAAUAAUAAGAUAGGACCUCGGUACUAUUUUGUUGGUUUGAGAACCAAGGUAAUGAUGAAUAGGGACAGUUGGGGGUAUUCGUAUUCAGUUGUCAGAGGUGAAAUUCUCGGAUUUGUUAAAGACUAACUUAUGCGAAAGCAUUUGCCAAGGAUGUUUUCA
rnacentral:rRNA from 1 species